rnacentral:rRNA from 1 species
AAUAUUGGGACAUAUAAAAAAAGACAACUCUGUUCCGCAGAGUAGCUGUUGACAUUAUAGUUGCGCAGGAACUUUGUUGACUCUAGAGAACCUCAGGCAAAUCGCACAUCCCCCAUGGUGGCGACUUUGCAUGCAGAUGUCAUCCAUAUCAACUUUCGAUGACAGUUUCUGCACCUACCAUGGUGACCACGGGUAACGGGGAAAUUGGUUUCCAUUCCAUAAAGGGACCCUGAGAAACGACUACUACAUGCAAGGAAGGCAGUAGGCGCGCAAAUGACCCACUCCCGACGCGGGAAGGUAGUGA